AUUGGCAUUUGGAAAACUGCUUAUGAUUCCCCCCGCGUUCAAACAGGCUCUUUUUCCAGUUGUACACGGUUCGCUUCACAAUCAGACGAUUCUCAUUUGGACGACAUUGCACUUGUGACCCGGGGACCGCAGGCCUUUCCGUCGCCUCUGCAGGUGGAAGGCCGCAGCGGGGGAUACUUUUAUCAGGCAUUCCAGCGAGUACAAAACAGGAAGGAGGAGAAGCCGAAUUGUAAAGAGCGCAGUUCCCAUCAGAAUUGAGUCAUGGCACGUACGCUGAGCUCAAAGGACAUGCUUUGUUGGCUCGCCGGAACGCCAAGAUUGCUCAACUGUGCUG